rnacentral:rRNA from 1 species
GAUGAACGCUGGCGGCGUGCCUAAUACAUGCAAGUCGAGCGAACAGAUAAGGAGCUUGCUCCUUUGACGUUAGCGGCGGACGGGUGAGUAACACGUGGGUAACCUACCUAUAAGACUGGGAUAACUUCGGGAAACCGGAGCUAAUACCGGAUAACAUUUGGAACCGCAUGGUUCUAAAGUGAAAGAUGGUUUUGCUAUCACUUAUAGAUGGACCCGCGCCGUAUUAGCUAGUUGGUAAGGUAACGGCUUACCAAGGCGACGAUACGUAGCCGGCCUGAGAGGGUGAUCGGCCACACUGGAACUGAGACACGGUCCAGACUCCUACGGGAGGCAGCAGUAGGGAAUCUUCCGCAAUGGGCGAAAGCCUGACGGAGCAACGCCGCGUGAGUGAUGAAGGGUUUCGGCUCGUAAAACUCUGUUAUUAGGGAAGAACAAACGUGUAAGUAACUGUGCACGUCUUGACGGUACCUAAUCAGAAAGCCACGGCUAACUACGUG